ensembl:lncRNA
AUUAGACUGACCAAAAAAAUUAUAAAAUGUCAUAAAAUUUCUAGGAGUAGUUUGUUACGGCGUAAAACAUGUCACUUCCUGUUGCCAGCAGGUGGCGCUAUAGCGAUAUCUGAAUAUUGGCAUGUAGAUAUAUUCAGGUCAGGAGUCUUCUCAAACAUGUGAAGUUUGGGGCAGAUUGGACAUUGUAUGUCUGAGUUAUAGCAACUUCCUUUCUCAUGGCGAAACAUCGAAAUUUGUAAGGCCGCCACAGACACGCCCUUAAACGAAACCUCAAGAUCUUCGCAAUUUAACAUCGCAAAGGCCUUUAGAUUACACUGACAAAGUUUGGUGUUGAUCUGAAUAAAUCUCUAGGAGGAGUUCGUUAAAGUACAACCCCUGAAAAUGGCAAAAACGACACAAAUUUUGCAGAGAAAAUUCAAAAUAACUGACUUCCUGUUGGGAUUCGAAUUUCGUACCAAGAGACUUUUUUGUAGGUAUUGGUGUGUUACAUGUGUGUACCGAUUUUUGUACAUGUACGUGAAACGUAGCUCGAGGCGCACUCCGCUGAAAUUGUAUAGGUGGCGCUAUCGAGGCAUUUUGCCACACCCGAUGGAAUAUUGGCCUUCAGAUUUGUUCAGGCCAGGACUCUUAUCGAACAUGUGAAGUUUGGGCAAGAUCGGACAUUUUAUGCCUGAGUUACAAUAACUUUUAUUCCCAUGGCGAGACAUCGAACUUUGUGACGGCGCCAUGGACACGCCCUUUAACGAAAACUCAAGAUCUUCACAAUUUAACAUCGCACAGGCCUUUAGAAUAGAGUGACUGAAAAAAAAACAUUUAUGUCAUAAAAUUUCUCGGGGUAGUUUGUUACAGUGUAAAAUAUGUCACUUCCUGUUGCCAGUAGGUGGCGCUAUGACUAUAACUGAAUAUGGGC